UACAGAGGGGGCAAGCGUUGUUCGGAAUUACUGGGCGUAAAGGGCGCGUAGGCGGCCCGCACAAGUCUGCGGUGAAAACCCCCGGCUUAACCGGGGGCCGGCCGUGGAAACUGUCGGGCUGGAGGCCGGGAGAGGGCAGCGGAAUUCCCGGUGUAGCGGUGAAAUGCGUAGAGAUCGGGAGGAACACCGGCGGCGAAGGCGGCUGCCUGGACCGGCCCUGACGCUGAGGCGCGAAAGCUAGGGGAGCAAACAGG
rnacentral:rRNA from 1 species